rnacentral:snoRNA from 1 species
AUCCUUUUUUGGUUCAUAAGCGUGAUGAUUGGGAAUUCAUGCCAGUACGUGAUGUGUGCCGCCCAUUAAACCGUGUUACAACAUUGGCACAUUAACUGUCUGAUG